GACGAACGCUGGCGGCGUGCCUAAUACAUGCAAGUCGAGCGCAGGAAACUGACGGAACUCUUCGGAGGGAAGGCAGUGGAAUGAGCGGCGGACGGGUGAGUAACACGUAAGGAACCUGCCUCAAGGAUUGGGAUAACUCCGAGAAAUCGGAGCUAAUACCGGAUAGUUCAUCGGACCGCAUGGUCCGCUGAUGAAAGGCGCUCCGGCGUCACCUUGAGAUGGCCUUGCGGUGCAUUAGCUAGUUGGUGGGGUAACGGCCCACCAAGGCGACGAUGCAUAGCCGACCUGAGAGGGUGAGCGGCCACACUGGGACUGAGACACGGCCCAGACUCCUACGGGAGGCAGCAGGAGGGAAUCUUCCACAAUGGACGAAAGUCUGAUGGAGCAACGCCGCGUGAGUGAUGAAGGUUUUCGGAUCGUAAAACUCUGUUGUAAGGGAAGAACACGUACGAGAGGGAAUGCUCGUACCUUGACGGUACCUUACGAGAAAGCCACGGCUAACUACGUGCCAGCCGCCGCCGUAA
rnacentral:rRNA from 1 species